GAGCGCCUCAAUCGCACGGGGCACAACCCCUGGAAACUCCUCCGUGCCUUCCUGGCAGAAGUCAAUCGAAGCAUAGGUAGUUGAACAUACCAUUGUGAAUGUUUUCCCUGUGCCCGUCUGCCCAUAAGCAAAUAUGCAUGCGUUAUAGCCAUCCAGAGCAGACUUGAUUAUUGGUUCAAUUUCUGAAAAGACCUCACCUGCCGUAGCAAAGAAGCAAUCAGGGUCUUGAUUAUGCCACGGACUGAAUCCACCCAAUUACAAGUUAGGUCUGUCUUCAUUCCCAUGAGAGAAUGAA